AUGAAUUACAAUUUAUUUGAAUGGAAAGUACUAGCAUACUUCGUGCCCCGUGCUGACGACAUCAUCCUCGCCACGCAGCCCAAAUGCGGCACCACCUGGAUCAAAGCCCUUGCCUUCACCAUCACCAACCGAUCUUGCUAUGGGUUCGGCGACCACCCGCUCCUCACACGCCACCCACAGCAUGUCGUGCCAUUCAUCGAGAUCCCGGCCGCCGGCCCGAACCACACCGACAUCCAUACACUUUCGUCUCCGAGGCUUCUCGCCACGCAUGUACCCAUGUCGUUGCUCCCACCGGACACGAGAUCGGUCGGCUGCCGGGUCGUGUACCUGUGUCGGGACCCCAAAGAUGCCCUCGUGUCAAGGCUGCACUUCGAGAACAAGGCGUUCCAGGGCACCAACCUGUCCAUGGACAGUGCUUUCAGCAUGUUCUGCGAGGGCUUCUCGCCCUAUGGCCCCUUCUGGGAUCACUGCCUCGGGUACUGGAGGGAGAGUGUAACAAGGCCCGACAACGUUCUUUUCUUGAAGUAUGAGGAGAUCAAGUCCGAUCCAGUGAACACCGUGAGGAAGCUGGCGAAGUUCCUCGGCGUCCCGCUGACUGAGGAGGAGGAGAGGUCCGGCGUUGCUCAGGAGGUGGUGAGGCUGUGCAGCUUUGAGGCACUUACCAACCUGCAAAUACGGUGGAGCCCACACCCGUACUUAACUCAUUGUGUCCAUCUUUCACCCCCUACCUCUCAGUAUUGUUUGAGGAACUACCGGAUUGGGCUGGUCUGCCGUGCCGCACCGCGCCGCCGCCACCGUUGUUCCACAAGUGCGUUCCCAGGUGGGAAUGGAGCUUAAUGGGCCAUCCACCAUCCUUUGCAUGCCUCUCGUGCACGCACGCAGUCCUCCUGUCGGUGUCUCGUGCGGGCAGGAAAAAGCCAUACCGGGGCACCUCGAGCGGAUCCUGCUCGUGAAGCAGGCCUUCGUGCCCCGCGCCGACGACAUCAUCCUCGCCACGCAGCCCAAAUGCGGCACCACCUGGCUCAAAGCCCUCGCCUUCACCAUAACCAACCGAUCCCGCUACGGCUUCAUCGACCACCCGCUCCUCACACACCACCCUCAGCAUCUCGUGCCGUUCAUCCAGAUCCCUGGUGCCGGCACGGGCCACACUGACAUCGACCCCUUUGGGUUCCCGAGGCUUCUCGCCACGCACACGCCCAUGUCGUUGCUCCCGCCAGGCAUGAGAUCACUCGGUUGCCGAGUCGUGUACCUGUGCCGGGACCCCAAGGACGCUCUUGUCUCAAGGCUGCACUUCGAGAACAAGGCGUUUCCGGGCACCGACCUAUCCAUGGACAGAUGUUUCAGCAUGUUCUGCAAGGGGUUCUCGCCUUAUGGCCCCUUCUGGGAUCACUGCCUCGAGUACUGGAGGGAGAGCAUGGCAAGGCCGGACAGCGUCCUCUUCCUUAAGUACGAAGAGAUCAAGUCUGAUCCAACGCAGGUUGUGAGGAAGCUGGCGAAAUUCCUCGGCGUCCCACUGACCGAGGAGGAGGAGAGGUCCGGUGUUGCUCAGGAGGUGGUGAGGCUGUGCAGCUUUGAGGCACUUACCAGCUUGCAAGUCAAUCAGGUCGGCCGCGUUCAUUUCAGUGAUAACAUUGUCAUGAGUAACUCUGUGUUUUACAGAAAAGGAGAAGUAGGGGACUGGGUAAACCACAUGAGCCAGGAGAUGGGGGAGGAGUUGGACCGCAUCGUCCAACACAAGCUUGAGGGAUCUGGGCUUGUGUUUUGAGUUGCUAUUAUCUGUUCGCUUCUCCUCUCCUCACCAUGUACAUUGCAUUGCACAUUUCAAUAAGAGGAUUUUCUUCCUUUGAA